rnacentral:lncRNA from 1 species
UUUAAAUUUGUAACCAUUAAACAGAUAUUAAACAAAUCAAAGUCAGAGCUCAUAUUUACACUGUCAGAAUACACUUGGUAAUUCUUUAAAAGAGGCUUGAAUUGCCAAAACGUCUUGUAUUUAAAAACAGAUGGUGUAUUUAGGAAUGGAAGAGAAACAAAAGAUCAGCAGGCUGCAGUGACGUCUCCAAGAUAACAGUGGAAGAGCUGGCACUACGUAUGGCAUGGAUGGUCGACGCACUAGUCAAGUCAAUCUUCUCCCCUGAAGAGAUGGAAGAGAUGCUCCCUCAUCAGGAAGUCAAUGUUCUACGGAUCGCUCACAGCCACGGGUGAUGGACCCGUACAAUCGUAUGCAGCGCCGAGGAAAAGGAAAGGCAUACAAAACCCGCCGCCGAUUGAGAACCACCGCACCUUCAAUACGCGCACGAGACCAUCCGGAGGGCCCUUGAUUGGAUUCCCUGUCUGAACGGAGCCCUGCGCUGUUCUUCCCUACAGCAACCGGCAGCAUCUUCUGGGACUUCGUUGCCUGCACUGCACGCCACACGUUUUUGUCUUCAUUAGUUCUUGUAGAGAAGAUGAUAUGAAUUCAUUUAUUUGCUUAACAUGCGAAUGAACAAAUUGAAAAACCGUGCUUCGGGAGAGGGAAAAUAAGUGCAAUAUUACAGGUUUGAAAUGGGAGAAUGCUGGAGCGGGGAGAAACGCAACGCGUUUCAGCUGAGCUAGUUCCAGGGAACUUCAUGGAGGAAAUUGGCGUCGAUAGCCAAAAGAUUGGAUUCAUGCGAACUGAGCCUGUAUCUUUGACCUUCCUUUCUGCACAUGGACAAUCAAUUAGUCAUCAUCAUACAGGACAGAGGCUAACAGGCCUAUAAAUACCAUUACCUGUUGUUGGAUCAUAUCAGCAAGUGCUUCCAUACCAACAUGGAUUUCCACUCUUCCCCUCGGCGUUUUCCGGCUUACCUCCUACUAUGCUUAUGCCUUAUGAUAAACAUAAGCAGAGGGUAUGGAUCUCAAAAGGUAUGGCCAAUUCAUCACCCUGCAUUUUAUGGCAUAGUGUUGGUUCUGUUCGAUGCUAAGAUAUGUUUUAUGUUCCUCUCCACGCAUAGCUGUACAUCGUUUACCUGGGAGAGAAGAAACAUGAUGACCCUUCUCUGGUAACAUCUUCGCACCAUGACAUGCUCACCACCAUUCUUGGAAGGUAAACCUCAGAACAAGCUUCCUAUCUUUCCGAGUUUGGUUCUGAUCUUCUGAAUGGCAAUAUACAUUUAGAGGACAGAGUAUUUCGUUCGACAAUUCCGAGAAAGGCUGCCAUUUUAUUUUUCCUCAUCAC